UCGAGAAUCUUCGGCAAUGGGCGCAAGCCUGACCGAGCGACGCCGCGUGCGGGAUGAAGGCCUUCGGGUUGUAAACCGCUGUCAGAGGGGAUGAAAUGCAGGUGGGUUCUCCCAUCUGUUUGACAUAGCCUCAGAGGAAGGACGGGCUAAGUUCGUGCCAGCAGCCGCGGUAAGACGAACCGUCCAAACGUUAUUCGGAAUCACUGGGCUUAAAGGGUGCGUAGGCGGCGCGGAAAGUUGGGUGUGAAAUCCCUCGGCUCAACCGAGGAAUUGCGCCCAAAACUUCCGUGCUCGAGGAAGAUAGAGGUGAGCGGAACUUAGGGUGGAGCGGUGAAAUGCGUUGAUAUCCUAAGGAACACCGGUGGCGAAAGCGGCUCACUGGAUCUUUUCUGACGCUGAGGCACGAAAGCUAGGGUAGCGAACG
rnacentral:rRNA from 1 species